UACGUAGGGGGCAAGCGUUGUCCGGAUUUAUUGGGCGUAAAGAGCGUGUAGGCGGCUAGAUAGGUCCGUUGUGAAAACUCGAGGCUCAACCUCGAGACGCCGAUGGAAACCAUCUGGCUAGAGUCCGGAAGAGGAGAGUGGAAUUCCUGGUGUAGCGGUGAAAUGCGCAGAUAUCAGGAAGAACACCGGUGGUGAAGGCGGGUCUCUGGGCCGAUACUGACGCUGAGGAGCGAAAGCGUGGGGAGCGAACAGG
rnacentral:rRNA from 1 species